CUAACGGUAAAAGCGGAAAAGUUAGGAAGGACAACCGGGGGCGAGGGGACCCCCUUGAACAAAUAUUGCCGCUCGGGGGGAAGGCGUGGGAACCAACCAGGAUAAAUUACCUGGGUGUUCCACCCGGUAAAGGAUUCAAUAUGGAGUUUGUUCCCUGAAGGUGUGGCGUCGGGAGUUAACGAGUAAAUUCGACCCCCUGGGAGGAACGCCGCCAGGGUAAAAAUUAAAAGAAAUGGCGGGGGGCCGCCCAAAGGGUGGGGCCAUGGGGUUAAUUUGGAGCCACGCGGAGAACCUUACCAGACUCUUGACAUCCGAGGAAUUUACCAGAGAGGAUUGGGUCCUUUGGGGAAUUCUAAACCAGUGGCGGCAUGGCGUUGUUCAGUUGUGUUUGUGAAAUGUUGGUUUAAUUCCGGCAAGGGGCGCACCCUUUUUCUUUUUUUCCCAGAGGUUAGGCCGGGCACUCAAAGGAGACUGCCGGUGAUAAACCGGAGGAAGGUGGGGAUGACGUCAAGUCAUCAUGGCCCUUACGGCUAGGGCUACACACGUGCUACAAUGGCGCAUACAAAGAGAAGCCACCUCGCGAGAGCAAGCGGACCUCAUAAAGUGGAUCGUAGUCCGGAUUGCAGUCUGCAACUCGACUCCAUGAAGUCGGAAUCGCUAGUAAUCGUGGAUCAGAAUGCCACGGUGAAUACGUUCCCGGGCCUUGUACACACCGCCCGUCACACCAUGGGAGUGGGUGCACCAAGAAGUAGUUAGCUUAACCUUCGGGAGGGCGGUUACCAAUUGUUGAUCCAAAAGC
rnacentral:rRNA from 1 species